rnacentral:piRNA from 1 species
UGGGAUCCAAACAAGUCACUCAGGGUU